GACGAACGCUGGCGGCGUGCUUAACACAUGCAAGUCGAACGGACAGGCCCUGCUUUUGUGGGGUGCUCGAGUGGCGAACGGGUGAGUAACACGUGAGUAACCUGCCCUUGACUUUGGGAUAACUUCAGGAAACUGGGGCUAAUACCGGAUAGGUGCUCCUGCUGCAUGGUGGUGGUUGGAAAGUUUCGGCGGUUGGGGAUGGACUCGCGGCUUAUCAGCUUGUUGGUGGGGUAGUGGCUUACCAAGGCUUUGACGGGUAGCCGGCCUGAGAGGGUGACCGGCCACAUUGGGACUGAGAGACGGCCCAGACUCCUACGGGAGGCAGCAGUGGGGAAUAUUGCACAAUGGGCGGAAGCCUGAUGCAGCAACGCCGCGUGCGGGAUGACGGCCUUCGGGUUGUAAACCGCUUUCGCCUGUGACGAAGCGUGAGUGACGGUAAUGGGUAAAGAAGCACCGGCUAACUACGUG
rnacentral:rRNA from 1 species